UCUGCUGAGCUUGCCUGUCACUUCUGGCUCAAGUUUCAGCAGUUUGGGAACUGGGUGAAAAAUAUCCUUCUUAAAAUCGUUAUGGUUGUGUGUUGUGGAGGAGCAGGAUGGAUUCUACUGAGUUCUCACCAGGGCUGUCUUCCAGGUAAGAGGGCAGAAGGAACCCAGACAAACAUCUGCAUUAUUUCAAGACGGAAGUUCAAAAGAACAGUGGCUGUCACAUGGACGCCUGCAAACUUCAGGGCUUUGCCAGGUACAAUUUGACUGCCAACACCCAGAACUCCUGCUCCAUGGCUCUGCUGGAUGGGAAUCGUGGGAGUCGCAGUCCAAAUGCCUCUGCAGGUUGCGGGAGGCUGCCUUGAAGAUUCACGAAUCCACUGCGGCAUCAUAAGCUUCCAUGGGCACGAAUCGCUUUGCGUGGUCAGAUAGAAUGGCGGGCACCAUUUCGGACUCUUAAAGCAGCAGAGUCCCAGGCUCAGGCUGAGGGGGACCAUCGGCAGGACCCCAAGUCUGGAGCAGGACGCCUGGGGCAAGAGGUGCCAAAACACACGGCCGUCGCCGGGUUGAGCUGGGACUGUGUGCCAAGCAUACGAACCGCGCUCUGCAGUUUGCAGUGGCAGAAAUACCAAUUCUGCCUGCCGUUGUUCCGCUAGGCCAAAUGCAGCAGUGAAGUCUUGCUGCGGGGGCUGAAGGAGCUAGAAUCGUUUCUUCUCCGACUGGCAGAGGACAGAGGCAGGAACAAAGGC